rnacentral:rRNA from 1 species
AGGACGAACGCUGGCGGCGUGCCUAACACAUGCAAGUCGAACGGGGCCCGCAAGGGUUCAGUGGCGAACGGGUGCGUAACACGUGAAGAACUUGUCCAUCGGCGGGGAUAGCCGGCCCAACGGCCGGGUAAUACCGCGUACGCUUGUCGGAUGGCAUCACCUGACAAGGAAAGCAGCAAUGCACCGAUGGAGAGCUUCGCGGCCUAUCAGCUAGUUGGCGGGGUAAUGGCCCACCAAGGCGACGACGGGUAGCUGGUCUGAGAGGAUGACCAGCCACAUUGGGACUGAGACACGGCCCAGACUCCUACGGGAGGCAGCAGUGGGGAAUAUUGCGCAAUGGGGGAAACCCUGACGCAGCGACGCCGCGUGUGGGAUGACGGCCUUCGGGUUGUAACCACUGUCGGGAGGGACGAAGAUCUGACGGUACCUCCAAAGGAAGCACCGGCUAACUCUGUGUCAGCAGCCGCGGUAA